rnacentral:rRNA from 1 species
CGGCCGCGGUAUCCUGACCGUGCGAAGGUAGCACAAUAAUGAGCCUCCUAAUUAGAGGAUAGAAUGAAUGAAUCAACGAAAAAGAUACUGUCUCAUAGACAACAAUUGAAAUUUAUAUGUAGGUGAAAAAGCCUACAUAACAAUUAAAGACAAGAAGACCCUAUAAGCUUUUUAAAGAAUUAAUAACCCAAAUUAAAUUUUUAUUUAGUUGGGGCGACUAAAAGUAAAUAACACUUCAUAUUCCCUAGAGAUCAUAUCUCAUUUCUUUGUAGCCACAAUCACAUUAUUAAGUUUUGUAGGUAUUCCAGGCUAUUUCUUUCCGAGAGUUCCCAUCU